rnacentral:rRNA from 1 species
CUACGGGGGGCUCCAGUGAGGAAUAUUGCACAAUGGGGGAAACCCUGAUGCAGCAACGCCGCGUGGAGGAUGACGCAUUUCGGUGUGUAAACUCCUUUUAUGAGUCAAGAAAAUGAAGGUAGCUCAUGAAUAAGCACCGGCUAACUCCGUGCCAGCAGCCGCGGUAAUACGGAGGGUGCAAGCGUUACUCGGAAUCACUGGGCGUAAAGGACGCGUAGGCGGGAUGUCAAGUCAGGUGUGAAAUCCUAUGGCUCAACCAUAGAACUGCACUUGAAACUGGCAACCUAGAGUAUGGGAGGGGGAGAUGGAAUUAGUGGUGUAGGGGUAAAAUCCGUAGAUAUCACUAGGAAUACCGAAAGCGAAGGCGAUCUCCUGGAACAUUACUGACGCUAAGGCGUGAAAGCGUGGGGAGCAAACAGGAUUAGAUACCCGAGUAGUC